GAACGCACCUUGCGCCCUUUGGCUAUUCCGAAGGGCAUGCCUGUUUGAGUGUCGUGAAAUCAUCAAAAACCUUUCUCUUUGAUCAUCUUUGGUCGGGAGAGGGAUGUUUUUGGACUUGGAGGAUCCAUGCUUGCUUUCACUGUUGAAAGUGAGCUCCUCUCAAAUGGAUUAGUGGGGUCUGCUUUGCUGGUCCUUGACGUGAUAAGAUGUUUCUACGUUUUGGAUUUAGCACUGUCCCUUAGAUGCCUGCUCCUAACUGUCUCACGGACAACGAUGGUGCUCUGGUCACCGCCAUCUACAUUGGUGGAGGAGGCUGGACCCACAAAAGAAAAAACCUUGACCUCAAAUUGGGUGAGACUACCCGCUGAACUUAAG
rnacentral:misc_RNA from 1 species